rnacentral:rRNA from 1 species
CCAGACUCCUACGGGAGGCAGCAGUGGGGAAUAUUGGACAAUGGGGGGAACCCUGAUCCAGCGACGCCGCGUGAGUGAAGAAGUAUUUCGGUAUGUAAAGCUCUAUCAGCAGGGAAGAAAGAAAUGACGGUACCUGACUAAGAAGCCCCGGCUAACUACGUGCCAGCAGCCGCGGUAAUACGUAGGGGGCAAACGUUAUCCGGAUUUACUGGGUGUAAAGGGAGCGUAGACGGCGAUGCAAGUCUGAAGUGAAAGGCGGGGGCCCAACCCCCGGACUGCUCUGGAAACUGCGUCGCUGGAGUACGGGAGGGGCAGGCGGAAUUCCUGGUGUAGCGGUGAAAUGCGUAGAUAUCAGGAGGAACACCGGCGGCGAAGGCGGCCUGCUGGACCGUGACUGACGUUGAGGCUCGAGAGCGUGGGGAGCAAACAGGAUUAGAUACCCCGGUA